UACGUAGGGUGCAAGCGUUGUCCGGAAUUAUUGGGCGUAAAGAGCUCGUAGGCGGUCUGUCACGUCGGCUGUGAAAACCCGAGGCUCAACCUCGGGCCUGCAGUCGAUACGGGCAAACUAGAGUACUGCAGGGGAGACUGGAAUUCCUGGUGUAGCGGUGAAAUGCGCAGAUAUCAGGAGGAACACCGGUGGCGAAGGCAGGUCUCUGGGCCACUACUGACGCUGAGAAGCGAAAGCAUGGGGAGCGAACAGG
rnacentral:rRNA from 1 species